UAUUUAUAUGCAGUGCUGAGAAUCAAACCCAUGCCUCACACAUGCGAGGCAAGUGCUCUACCCCUGAGCCACCACCCAGCUCCUAAGUUUACAUUCUUUAUAGACAUGUGUGAAAUCCCUUCGCUAUCAGAGUCUGGUGAACUGUGCACACUCACUAGUGAUGGUAGGGUAGUUGGUCCAGUCUUUGUGAGAAGGUUUUCACGAAGUUUGGAUAGUGUCAGUUCUGGUGAUGUUUAAAGGAUGACUCGAAGUGCAGAGUAAGGCUUCUGCACAAGCGUGUUUUCUGUAGCAUUCAGGAUGAAACUAGAGACAAAUUUAAGUGUGAACAAUAGGAUAAUUAUUGAACUAUGGUUUAAUUGGCUCCUUUUGGGACACUGUGCCGUCAUCAGAUUAUUGCAAAGAAUUUAUAAUAACAGAAAAAUACAUGUUACCUAUAUAAAAACAAAGGAUUGAACAGCGGUGCACCAAAGUGACACUUGUGGUCAGUGCUGUUGAGGUUCAGCCCCUAGUGGUCACCACGUGGCCCCAGCCUUUCAGGAGGCUGAGCUGAAAAGAAGCCAUCCCUUCUUCACGUCCCAGCCCAGGUGGUGCAGAGGUGGGAGGCUGGCCCUCCACACAACCCCACACGACCCCUCCAAAGGCCGCCAUUUGCGCCCAGCCAGCAGAACACGGAAAGAGAGCAUGGAAGAUUCUGGGGCUGGAGCGGGAGGUGUUUAAAGUUUUAUAAGAUGCAGUUGCAGAUUUCAGUCUCUGGUAACGGAGGAGCCCUUCUGUUGGACGAACUCUUCCCACCGAUGACUGCUCUAGACAAAGUCAGAGUAACAGCUACUGGAGAUCAUUUGACAGACCAGACCCAGGGUACCUGGAGAGCGUGCGAUGCAUGCAUGCAUGGGCCCAUUUGCAGGGAGAUAAACCCAGACAUAAAACCCGCUUUCACUGGUUGGAGGAGAGAUCGGAAGCGGCACAGCGGCUGGAGAGCAGAGGAGGAAUUCCUGAAGAAGGACACUAGGCUGGUGCUAGCCGUCCCCACAACUCACUGUUGAAACCCUCUCCUGGCGAUGGCAUUGGGAUGCAGGGCCUGUGAACGGUGCCCAGGAGUUGAGGCCGGGACCCUCAAAAGAUGCUCCUAAACUCCCUGUUUCUUCUGCCACGAGGACACGUGGAGAAAACAGGCCUGAGCCAGACGCCGAAUCUGCCGGCACAUUGACCUCAAACUUCCUGGCCUCCAGAACUGUGAGAAAGGUGUGUCUGCUGUUGAAGACGCCCAGCCCCGCCGCCAGGCUGUGCUAGUUUUUUAGAGCCGUCCACACUGGACUAACCCUGAGCCAAAGAGACUCAGGGUAUAAGCACCAGACUGCGUAUAGAAUCCGCCAAGUCCCUGCUCUCCCUCAGCUGUACGUGUGGGGAAGGCUGCAUCCACCUCAGGCUGACAGGUGGAACCAGGAGUUCUGUUCACACAUUUGGUUCAGGAAACCAAAUUGGACCUUGAUCCAACCAAGCAAAUUGCCUACUUAACAAGAAUGUGGGGAAGACACCAGAGAAAAUGGCAGAAUAAAGAAAGAGCUGAAAGUUUGCCCCUUCGUUUAAACAAAACAAAAAAAGCUUAGCAAGACCCUGUCUCAAAAUUUAAUAAAAAUAAGGACUGGUAGCCGCGUAAGGUGGUGCACGCCUGUAAUCCCAGCAGCUCUGAAGGCCAAGUCAGGAGGAUUGUGAGUUCAGAGCCAGCCUUGACAACUUGGUGAGGCCCUGGCUCUAAAUAUAUUUUUUAAAAGGCCGGGGAUGUGGGUCGGUGUUAAGGGCCCUUGAGUUUAGUCAUCCCCAGGGCCAAAAAAAAAAAGGAAAACUUUCAAAAUCAACUUCUUAAAAACUAGAAAUUAACCAAUCUAAUAGCAAUCCAAAGA